rnacentral:rRNA from 1 species
UACGUAGGGUGCAAGCGUUGUCCGGAAUUAUUGGGCGUAAAGAGCUCGUAGGCGGUUUGUCGCGUCUGCUGUGAAAUCCGGAGGCUCAACCUCCGGCCUGCAGUGGGUACGGGCAGACUAGAGUGCGGUAGGGGAGAUUGGAAUUCCUGGUGUAGCGGUGGAAUGCGCAGAUAUCAGGAGGAACACCAAUGGCGAAGGCAGAUCUCUGGGCCGUAACUGACGCUGAGGAGCGAAAGCAUGGGGAGCGAACAG